rnacentral:lncRNA from 1 species
AAUGCAAUGCUCCAUUGAUAUGUACCUCACAGUGAUUCUCAUAAAAGGGUAAUAGAUAAGGAAAACAUAGGACCCUGUUCCAAGAAUUCGAUUUCAAGCAUAGAAUUUUGUUACAAGAAAGCAAGAAUAGGCAAUACAAAAAUAAUAAUAAGAUCAGAUAGAUUUACGUGGAAACCAUGACUAGAAAAAAAUCAUGGACAAAUAAGGGAAAAUUCACUAUAUCAAAUAUCAGUACAAGAGUAAGUUUUGGAUAGUUGAAAUGAAUAAUAUAAUGAAACCCUAAAAUACAAUAUACAAUGAAACACAACUUUAAAUACAAACUGCAAAUGAAAAUAAAAUGGGCAAACCUCUAACAAAGAUAUUUCUAUGUAAAUCAUACAAAACAAGCAUUUCUUAAUUGACAUUUAAAAGAGCAUUUUCACCAUUCUUUGAAUAAGUCAAUGACUUGAAAGUAGACAAAACACCAUCCGAAUUAAUCUUUGCUUGACCAACUGAUAGCAAUUAAAUCUAAGAUUCCUUUACUCUAUAUUUUUCAUUACCCAUAUAAGAACAUGAAAUUCUCUACCGAUGGUUAAAG